CCUACGGGUGGCAGCAGUGGGGGAUAUUGGACAAUGGGGUAAACCCUGAUCCAUCGACGCCACGUGAGUGAAGAAGUAUUUCGGUAUGUAAAGCUCUAUCAGCCGAGAAGAACUAAAUGACGGUACCUGAGUAAGAAGCCCCGGCUAACUACGUUCCAGCAGCCGCGGUAAUACGUAGUGGGCAAGCGUUAUCCGGAAUUACUGGGUGUAAAGGGAGCGUAGACGGUAAUGCAAGUCUGGAGUGAAAGGCGGGGGCCCAACCCCCGGACUGCUCUGGAAACGGGGUAACGUGAGUGCAGGGGAGGCAGGCGGAAGUCCUAGUGUAGCGGUGAAAUGCGUAGAUAUUAGGAGGAACACCAGUGGCGAAGGCGGCCUGCUGGACUGUAACUGACGUUGAGGCUCGAAAGCGUGGGGAGCAAACAGGAUUAGAUACCCUUGUAGUC
rnacentral:rRNA from 1 species